UUUAAUGUGGUGUUUUAGCAUUCUACAUUUUGGUUGUGGAGGAGGUUAGUUGCCCAUUUUUC
rnacentral:tRNA from 1 species